UACGUAGGGGGCUAGCGUUGUCCGGAAUCAUUGGGCGUAAAGCGCGUGUAGGCGGUCCGGUAAGUCCGCUGUGAAAGUCGGGGGCUCAACCCUCGGAUGCCGGUGGAUACUGUCGGGCUAGAGUGCGGGAGAGGCGAGUGGAAUUCCUGGUGUAGCGGUGAAAUGCGCAGAUAUCAGGAGGAACACCAAUGGCGAAGGCAGCACUCUGGGACGUGACUGACGCUGAGACGCGAAAGCGUGGGGAGCAAACAGG
rnacentral:rRNA from 1 species